UAAAUCAAUCCGUAACUGUAACCUGAAAAACCUCUUCAUCUUCUAUUUAGAAUCUCUGACCCCUGCUCCCAAUCCACGCACAGGGAGGAAGGUCCAAUGAUGAUGUCGAAGGUGUCGAGCAAAAUGGGGAUUUCUUCUUUGGGUCAUGAAUCUUGGCGGUGUAGCAUCCCAUGGUGUUUCCUGAAACCUUUGUGGUAGAUCUAUUGGUCGGUGGAGUGUUCCUUUGUCUCCGACAACCACACCACCUUUGUCGAUUUCAGCGUCUCCAAUAUAGGUUUCCUAUCAUCCUCACCUGCGCCGCCAUGCGUUUGCAGUUCUGCUGGUGUGCCCUGACGCCACCUCCGUCGGUGCUGCUAUCACCAUGUUUGUCAACAAACAACAACAUAAAGUGCACUUCCUUUGAUGCAUAUCAUACUGCCAACCAAAGCCUUUUUUGUGCUGUGAGAUUAUCAAAUUGGUC
rnacentral:lncRNA from 1 species